rnacentral:tRNA from 1 species
GCUGAUCUAGCUCAGUUGGUGGAGCACAAGGCUCUUAACCUUGUGGUCGUGGGUUCGAGGUUCACGGUACGGUG